rnacentral:tRNA from 1 species
GCUCAGUCGGUAGAGCAUUGGACUUUUAAUCCAAGGGUCCAGGGUUCAAGUCCCUGUUCGGGCG